UUAUCGACGAUGCCGGGGAGCAGUAGGUUGUAUUAAAUGUUCAGAGAGUCGGCGGUGGCUGCAAGCCGACGUUGCACACAAUCGAACUCGCCCCGUAAGUCGCAGAGGGGAACCGAGUACCUUCUGCCGUUCUGAUCCCCGUUACCGGAUAUUUGAGUGAGUAUCUGUUAAAGCUGGUACUAAAUAGGGUGGUACCGCGGGAGAAUGGUCAACAACCUCUCGUCCCUAGU
rnacentral:ncRNA from 1 species